UAUGAUAAUGUCAACCUUUAGAUUCUGA
rnacentral:sRNA from 1 species